UGUUAAUACUUGUUUCACGUAAAAUACAUGUUUUCAUAAUGAUUUUAUUUAAAUAUCACAAUCAACUACAUUUUCUUGGUUUCAAUUUUUUAGAAAUCCAUUUUUUUCUGUUGUGAGUAAGUAGCGUACAUGUGUGCAUUGUUGUAUGUUUUACUUUCGUAUAUCUAUCAUGUGCUUUUGUUGUACACAUUUUUUAGGGGUGUAUCUUGUGGUCGAAUGAAGCACACUGUAAUUAUUCUCGUUGUGCAGGAGAAUGAAAUGCUGAAGGCAGCUCUCAUUAUUGUCAAAGAAAUAAAAUUAUGUUUUCAAGAUUUAUUAAACAGGAUGAUUUUUAAUGUGAGAUUACAAAACGAAAUGAACUAUGAUUAAUGUACAAAAUAAUUUAGAAAUGUUACAUGAAACAAAACAAUAAAAUAUUUUGAAAAUGC
rnacentral:misc_RNA from 1 species